rnacentral:lncRNA from 1 species
AGCUUUUGGAAAGAAGUUCAAAGUUACAAAGCUAUCAAGGUGAGUAGUAAACUAGUAUUGGGUUUUAAGUGUUGAGAAUGACUAGAGAUUUGAUUUGUGAAUAUUUUGUAGUUGAGAUUGUUAAUUCACUUUGGAGUGAUAGGAAAGUGAAAAUGGAUGGCCAUUUAAAUGGCAAUUGAAAGCUAGCUAAAAGAUAGCUUUUAGGGUUUAUAGUAUGUAAAUUGACAUUAUGGAAAUGUUAAUUUGAUGGUAGGUGUUAACGAAGCCCCAUCACCCCAAUUGGAUCAUUAGGGGGAUUAAGAGUCGGCUAAAGGCUCAACGAAUACCGGUGAGUGGACUUGCAUUUUAAACUUAUUUUGGGGAAUAUGAAAGAUUCUAUCCAACUUGUCUUAGAAAAUGUACCUUGGGAACAAGCUUUUAAUAAAAUGAUUUUAUAUUGUGAAAAUGUGUUAUACAAUGGUUUAUGUGUUAUCACAAUAUGGUAUAAUGCAUGAUAUGCAUUGGAUGCUUCUUUUCAUGUUGAUGUGGACCCGGCUAUGUGCGAGUGGGAGUGCACAUAAGCCGUUGCUGACCUGACUAUGUGCGAGUGGGAGUGCACAUAAGCCGUUGCUGACCUAGCUAUAUGCGAAUGGGAGUGCACAUAAGCCGUUGCAUAUGAGAUGAUGACGAUGGGAAGGUGUACAUGAUGAUUGAUAUAUAUAUAUACAUAUAUGGUAUAUGGUUGUAAAUGCAAAUAUGUGAGCAUUUGAUUUGUUGAAAUUUGGGAGUUUACAUGUGUUACAUGUUGCUAUUGUUAUUUUAGCAAGAUGGCUUGUUUUAAAGGAAAAUGAGACUUUUUCCUUGAUGUUCUGACUCUCGCUACAGCGAGAAACUCUCGGGUUUGAGGACCUUCACCAGACCUGGUUCUCGCUGCAGCGAAAAUGAAGUUCGCUGCGAGAAACUUUUUGUCCAUUUUGGCUAACUUGUGGGUUUUGCUAUAUUUUUCGAUUCUUUGGUACCAUAGUUGAGUACGGAUCUUUUAAGUGAUUUACUCAUGAGGGGUUUACAUGAGGGGUUCUACUAAGAACUAGAACCAAUUGCAAUGUUUUGCAAAAGGAAUGCAUCAUGAUUUUGUUAAAAAUCCCUUAUGGUAUGCUUGUUCCCUUCCUUGUUCAGUCACUGGGUUUAUACUCACCGUUUUCAACUUCAUGUUUUUAGAUCACGAGGCAGCUGGUAACUAGGUCAAAGUGUCUUUAUAUAUUCGACCCUUGGUAGGUGUCUCGGCAUUCAGUAGCUGUACAUUCAUCAGAGUCUCUCCGCUGGAAGUCGAGUAUUCUUUUGUUGUGUAUAGACAAGCUUAAUGUAAAUUAUUAAGAUACAUGUUGUCUACAAUGUAUAUACACUUGUUUGGUAUGCUAGUAUGAGGUGGCAAUGUUCAAUAUUAUUUUGAUUCUAAGUUAUGAAAUAUGACUUAAUAGUUUAUGAUGGAAUGAUGAACAUGUCAGAUUAAUAGGCUUGCUUGGGCUUAGUGGACUACGUCCAUUGGGCCCAUGUGUCGGUCAUGGCCCGAAAUUUGGGUCGUGACAUACACCCUCUAAUCUUUUAAAUCAG